ACAGACAUGUAUUGUUGAAACAUUACAUCCACUUCAAAUGGUUGUAAAACAUGCUGAUGAUUGUGUUCUGCAUGCAGUUUGUCUUUUUUUUCCACUCAUGAAAAAACAAACUGAAUUGAGUAUAAUUUUGUCUGACGAGGCUAGGCAGCUGCUCCCUGGUAUAGAUCCGGACGAUAAAGGUAUAAAUGGACAUGCAUUAUUUCUUGCAUUGGCUAACGUUGCGCCCGCUCAUUUGCCAAUAAAGACUAGACGGCCAGACCUAUAAAGACUUUUUUCACUUAUCAUUCAGUUUACAUUUCUUUUUAUGUCCCAUAAUACUAGUCCCUUCGACGUCGGGCUUCUUGUUACCCAGAGAGUAUAUAUUCCAAGAAUUUUGGUCAGCUAUACCUCCGGAUCCGAAACUUGUUACGAAAGUCUCUUUGCAUCGAUAAAUUCAGGACGAGUAGGUAUUUACUUCCGGGGGGACAAAUUGAUACUAAAGUAGAAUCGAGUGAAGAUCGAUGGAAAAAUUAAAAUUUAUAAGCUUUUUUUCCGCUAGUUUUGUUACCGGAUAAAAAUAAUCGACGAAAAACUACUUAUAUUUUACAAACAAAAUAGCGUUUAUAAUCUCUUCAUUAAAAUUGCUAGCAUAGUUUUGGAUAAGGAAAAUCAACCAGAAGGGAGUAUUUUUUUAAAGGAUCAACAGUUUUGACUUCUAAAAGUGUAAUAAAUCGAUACCGGAUCAAAGCAUGUUACGGGCCAUGGUAUAAAAAUUGUUUAUUUAUUUAUUUUUACAAGUAAAUAGAAAAGUCCCGAAGGACGGUUAAGAUCUACCAUCCAAAAUUAACAGAUAUACAGUACUGUACAGUACAUAAAAACAAAUACAGCAAUUACAUAAAAAUACAACAAUUGCAUAAAAUUAAAAAUUGUAGGCUAUAACGUGUUUUUUGCAUUUAAUUUAAAACAAAAAAAAUUAAGAAAUAAAAAAUUAUCAAAAGUAUUUAAAUUUUGAGAAAUACGAUUUUAAAAAGUGGCCUUUGAGAUAUACUCAAACUAAAGAAUGGAAUGAACAUACUAGA